rnacentral:tRNA from 1 species
GCGAACGUAGUUCAAUGGUAGAACGCCACCUUGCCAAGGUGGACACGGGGGUCCGAUUCCCCUCGUUCGCU